rnacentral:misc_RNA from 1 species
GAUGAAAGAACGCAGCGAAUUGCGAUAUGUAAUGUGAAUUGCAGAAUUCAGUGAAUCAUCGAAUCUUUGAACGCAUAUUGCACCCUCUGGUAUUCUGGAGGGUAUGCCUGUUUGAGUGUCAUUAAUUCUCAAAGCUUAGAAAACUUGCCUUUUCUUUGCAUUUGGAUGUUGAAGGAUUUGCUGGCUCUUUCUGUCAGCUCCUUUUAAAUACAUUAGCAAGGACUUUGUGGUGCUAGCUUCGGUUUGAUACACUUUUGUUAUCUGAGCUGUUGCAGGGUAUUGCAUUAACCUUUCUUGCUUCUCAAAUUGUCUGCGAUUGUGGACUUGUCUUCUGGACAAUGAUAAUGAACUUGACCUCAAAUCAGGUAGGACUACCCGCUGAACUUAAGCAUAUCAAUAAGCGGAGGA